rnacentral:misc_RNA from 1 species
UUUCCGUAGGUGAACCUGCGGAAGGAUCAUUAGUGAACUGAAUAUGUUAGCGGACCUCUUCGUAGUCCCGAGCAUCAAAUCAUAUCCAGAACGCCUGUGAACUGUAAGGCUGUCUUAGAAACGAAAGAGAUCAGAGCGCCUGCCCAUUUUAUACAAACAUUAAGGUAACAAACGUAGUUUUAUUAUAAUCCAAUAAAACUUUCAACAACGGAUCUCUUGGCUCUG